AAAUGGAGACAGCAGUGAGGACCUUCUGCAAGCUUGUCGCAUUUGUCUCUUUGCCCAGCAGGUGGAGGGUCACUGGAAGCUGCACUGCAUGCAGAGUCAAAGAAAAAGCAGGUGGCUCGUGACGCCACGUUUCCUGAGGGCCUGCCGACAAGCAACGGGUCCAAACGUUGAAGAGGGAAGACUCGGAUUCACAACGUCGAUCGGGUCCUUGAGCACCAUCUGGUGGACAAAAGCAGGACAAACAUGCACAUGUUGAGCAGGUGCCACUUCGCUGACAGUUUCCUCCCUCUCGCUCCCUGGUGCAACGCACCUGAUUGGAUAAGUGAGAGAGGGCCAAAAUUAAGAGCCCCGCCACCGUUUGAUUUGAGCCACAGGUGCGCCUACUCAACCAGCAGGUCAACGAGUUUCCGGGAAUUGGUUGAGGACAAACGUUUUU